GCCGAUCUUCGUAGCUUAGUUGGUAGAACUCCCGACUAGAACUCGGGUUCGAGCCCCGCUGAAGGCA